AUUAAUGAAAAGGGGAUAGAUUUACUCCACACGCGCUACGCGCAUGAAGGCCAGUUUAUGUUAAACCUACAUGACCAUCUUCUUCAUAUAUAAUUAUCGACUUGUCAUUCACCAAAGCUAGCGAAUCAGGGAGUGACUCCUGUUGUUGCGGGCACUCCUCUUUCGUGUAAUACUCUGUCAUUGUUUUUGGGAACUGAUAAACUCACCCCGUUACUCUUAUCUUCCCACACAUUAUUAUUCCAUCCGCCAUACAAAAUUAAAAAAAAUUAAAAAAAAUUAACAUCUUAUUUUCCAACCCCUAUAAUCUACAUAGUCAUUGGUUUUGUUGGAGAGUUGUAGAGAGCAAGAGAUCUGCUUCAUCAAUUCAACUAAUUUAGUUCGAAGCAAAAGAAUUAAAUCGAAAAAGUGGAAGUAAGAAUAUCAGAAACAGUUAAAAAAAAAAUUCGAAUCUGCAAGUAAAGGGGAAGCAGUUUAAGAGGGAGAGCGUACCGGCGAGCUUCUCAGCAUCGAACCAAGAUUCUGAUUCCCCUGUCCUCUCUCUCUCUCUCUCUCUCUCUCUCUCUCUCUUAAAUUGCUCUCCUAAAGCCGAGAUUUGAUUCAAAUGACCUGGAAGCUAUCAAAUUAAAGAUGCAAAAUUGCAACAAAACGUCCAAAAUUUUAAAAUUUGUUGGAAAAAUCCACAAACUGAUGAACAUAUUUGGAAUUGGAGCCCUAGAAAUCACAGAAACGAACCAUGAGAAAUGCUAUCUGUCGGUGGAUUCUUGAACUUCUUCCGCCACCGGAAUAAUGGAUCUUUCUCCCACCGAUCAAAACUUGACUCCAUUAAUUAAUC
rnacentral:lncRNA from 1 species